rnacentral:rRNA from 1 species
UACAGAGGUGGCAAGCGUUGUUCGGAAUUACUGGGCGUAAAGGGCGCGUAGGUGGUUGGGUAAGUCCUGUGUGAAAUCCCUCGGCUCAACUGAGGAACUGCACAGGAGACUGCCCGACUUGAGUUCGGGAGAGGGACGCGGAAUUCCGGGUGUAGCGGUGAAAUGCGCAGAUAUCCGGAGGAACACCGGUGGCGAAGGCGGCGUCCUGGACCGACACUGACACUGAGGCGCGAAAGCUAGGGGAGCAAACGGG